rnacentral:rRNA from 1 species
CCUACGGGAGGCAGCAGUGGGGAAUAUUGCGCAAUGGGCGAAAGCCUGACGCAGCGACGCCGCGUGAGGGAUGAAGGUCUUCGGAUCGUAAACCUCUGUCAGCAGGGAAGAACGGUCACUGUGCUAAUCAGCAGUGAAUUGACGGUACCUGCAAAGGAAGCACCGGCUAACUCCGUGCCAGCAGCCGAGGUAAUACGGAGGGUGCGAGCGUUAAUCGGACUUACUGGGCGUAAAGCGCUCGUAGGCGGUAUGUCAAGGCAAGGGUGAAAUCCCCGCGCUCAACGUGGGAACUGCCUUUGAAACUGGCAGACUGGAGUUUGUGAGAGGAUAGUGGAAUUCCAGGUGUAGGAGUGAAAUCCGUAGAUAUCUCGAGGAACAUCAGUGGCGAAGGCGACUAUCUGGCACAUAACUGACGCUGAGGAGCGAAAGCGUGGGUAGCAAACAGGAUUAGAUACCCUUGUAGUC